UACGUAGGGGGCUAGCGUUGUCCGGAUUUAUUGGGCGUAAAGAGCGUGUAGGCGGCCAGGUAGGUCUGCUGUGAAAACUCGAGGCUCAACCUCGAGACGUCGGCGGAAACCAUCUGGCUAGAGUCCGGAAGAGGAGAGUGGAAUUCCUGGUGUAGCGGUGAAAUUCGUAGAUAUUCGCAAGAACACCAGUGGCGAAGGCGGCUCACUGGCCCGAUACUGACGCUGAGGUGCGAAAGCGUGGGGAGCAAACAGG
rnacentral:rRNA from 1 species